UACGUAGGGUGCGAGCGUUGUCCGGAAUUAUUGGGCGUAAAGAGCUCGUAGGCGGUUUGUUGCGUCUAUCGUGAAAACCUGCAGCUUAACUGUGGGCUUGCGGUGGAUACGGGCAGACUUGAGUUCGGUAGGGGAGACUGGAAUUCCUGGUGUAGCGGUGAAAUGCGCAGAUAUCAGGAGGAACACCGGUGGCGAAGGCGGGUCUCUGGGCCGAUACUGACGCUGAGGAGCGAAAGCUAGGGGAGCGAACAGG
rnacentral:rRNA from 1 species